UUUUCCUCCGGAAGUGUGGCACCCAGAGGCGCAAGUGAAGUUUCUGGUUCCCUCCUUCACUGUGUGACCUGCCUAGUCCUCCUGGGUCGCAUUUACAGAAGUUUAUACGAGACCUAGUUUCCAGGGAAGAACUCACUGAUUCCGCGAGGGAGAUGGCGUAAUAGAUGAUGGUCGUCAGCCUUAAGGGUACUUCAGUCUUAACUGUGUGUUAGAAAGUUUGAAAGGGAGGGUUCCCUAUGAAUAAGAAGCACACUUGAAAGAACAGCCGUCUGGUCUAACCUCUCACUGGUGCUUCAGAGGAGGAAAAAAGGUCACAGCUAUGUUUCCAGUGUCCUCUGGGUGUUUCCAAGAGCAACAAGAAACGAAUAAAUCUCUGACGGAGAUUCACUCUUGUUGCCCAGGCUGGAGUGCAAUGGCACAAUUUCGGCUCUCCACAAUCUCUGCCUCCCAGAUUCAAGCUAUUCUCCUGCCUCUGUCUCCCGAGGAGCUGGGAUUACAGCCUCUUAAAAAAGAACUUAAAGGUCAUUGAUUGAAGCCUUUUAUUUUCAAUAUAUUACAUCUAUAAAUGUACCUUUAAGAAACGAUUUAUCUGCAUCCCACAUUUUAUUAAGUUUUUAAAAAAUUUUAUUUCAGUUUAAACUAUUUUUUUUGUGUGUGAAACUUUUCUUGGCCAAUGGGUUUUUCUGAAGUAUUUUGUUUAAUGUUCAAAUGUUGGGGUGUUAUUGUACAUAUCCUACUGUUGUCCAUCUCUGGUUCAUGAUACAAUGCAUGUUCUCCAUUGCACUUAGAUAACAUGCCUCCAUGUCUCUGGAGAAUUCCUCAGUCUUUCUAAAAUGCUUUUGAUGAAUACUGGCCGUUAUUUUGUAGAAUGUCCUGCCUCAAUUUCAGUUAGUCUGAUGUUUUCUCACGGUUAGGACUAAAGUUAUACAUUUUGUCUAAGAAUACCAUAGAAUUGAUGUUUUGUCCUACUCAGUGCAUCAUAUAAGAAAUUACAUGAAGUUCAUUUAUCUUAUUAUUAGUAAUGUUAACUAUGAUCACUUGGCUAAGUUGACAUCUCCACUUUGAAGUUACUAUUCUAUAAUUAUCUUGUGGGAAGAUACUUUCAUAUUAUGCAAAUAUGUUCUUUCCCAACAUAUAUUCACCACUAAUCUUAGCAUUCCUCCAAGGUUCUUUCUUGCAACAAUUAUUACUAUGAUAUUUGCAAAGUGAUGAUUCUUAUAUUUUAUGUCUCCUACAUUUAAUGAAAUCUUACUGUAAUAAAAUACUACCCACUCUCAAUCUUUGGUUUAUUAUUUAUGUCAAUAUGGAUUUUUUUUUUGAGUUGGAGUCUUGUUUUGUCAUCCAGGCUGGUGUGCAAUGGUGCGAUUUCCGCUCACUGCACUUCCACCUUCCGGGAUUCAAGCCAUUCUCCUGCCUCAGCCUCCGGAGUAGCUGGGACUACAGUCAUGUGCCACCAUGCCCGGCUAAUUUUUGUAUUUUCAGUAGAGGCAGGGAUUCACCACAUUGGUCAGGCUGGUCUUGAACUCCUGACCUCAAGUGAUCUGCCCGCCUCUGCCUCCCAAAGGGCUGGGAAUACAGGCAUGAGCAACUGCACCUGGCCUGGAUUAAUUGAAAAUUUUCUCCUGUAGAUUGUAAUAUAUUAUUAUUGUUAUCUAUUUUAUUGCCCCAAUUUUCUCAAAUUUGGCUAUGGAAGUUUAUUCAAAGUGGAUCUGUUUCCCUUUCACAUUUUCCCCAUUUUGUGAGCAUUUCCUUACUUCCUAACAUGACAAAAUAUUUCAAACUAAUCUUGUAUUUUCCCUGCCCAAUCCUGAUAUCAAAUAUGUCCCCAAGGAGCCUUGGUUCCUUUAAUUGGAGAAUGGUGUUCUCAUUGUUACUGGGAUGAUGUUGUUUCUAGGCCCUUUUGUUAGAGGAGCUAGAAAAUAUAUGUAUGUAUACUCACACAUUUAUACACAUCUGUACUUAUUUAUACAAUUAUCCAUCUGUACGUAUACUAAAAACAAUGAUUUCAUGAAACUUUUGAUCCCAAUCCAACACUAGAUAAAGACUAUAUAGGCCCAUUUAUUUGCAAAUCAGCACAUAAACAUAGAAGAAUUAUUAACAAUAUAAGCUGUAGCUUAUGCUAAAUGUUGGUUGGAACAGACAAUAAGUUAUGGAGAACUUCAGAGGACACUAAGGUUGGAUGGGAUUUUGGAAGUUGUACAGGUCAAUGCCACUCCAUCUAUUGGCGAGUUUCACUAGGUUAAUACAUGAACAACAACAAAAAUAACCUAGAUCAGAAGUUAAAGGUCAUUUUAUUGACUAUCUGCCGUGUCUGUGCCAUUGCAGUGUACUAGGUGCACUUACGAGUCCUCUACUUACAAACUGCUUUUCACAAAAUAUGAAACUCCAGGCAAAGGUUCAGACAUAUGACGUUUGUUUUUAAAAUCUUUCUACAGCCUUGUAUCCUUUUUCCUUUCCUUCCUUUUACCCUUUUUAAAAUGUGUUAUGAGUUUUAUCUUAGACUAACAUCAUCUGUAAUGUUGCUAUACGCCAGUAUUCAGUUGCUGUGUUUGAUGAAUCAUAAAAUGGUGUAAAACUUCAAUUAAUGUACUUUUUAAAUAAAGUAUCUAUGAAUGCAUCCAGCAAAAUGUUUAUGAUUUGAGUAUUCACACAAUAUUACUUUUCUCUGGAUCUAACAAUAAUGUGAAAACGCAAAAUGAAUAUAAAAUAUUAGCUAAUAAUAGAUUUCAAAGUAUUGUACAAGUAUGAAAAAUAUAUGAUAUUGUUACUUUCAUAUAUGUAAAACAUUAAUAAUUUUUGUCAACAUAAACAUCAUCUUUAC
rnacentral:lncRNA from 10 species